AACGCGUAUCCAACCUUCCGUACACUCAGGGAUAGCCUUUCGAAAGAAAGAUUAAUACCUGAUGGUAUGAUGAGAUUGCAUGAUAGCAUCAUUAAAGAUUUAUCGGUGUACGAUGGGGAUGCGUUCCAUUAGGUAGUAGGCGGGGUAACGGCCCACCUAGCCAACGAUGGAUAGGGGUUCUGAGAGGAAGGUCCCCCACAUUGGAACUGAGACACGGUCCAAACUCCUACGGGAGGCAGCAGUGAGGAAUAUUGGUCAAUGGACGAGAGUCUGAACCAGCCAAGUAGCGUGAAGGAUGAAGGUCCUACGGAUUGUAAACUUCUUUUAUAAGGGAAUAAACCCUCCCACGUGUGGGAGCUUGUAUGUACCUUAUGAAUAAGCAUCGGCUAACUCCGUGCCAGCAGCCGCGGUAAUACGGAGGAUGCGAGCGUUAUCCGGAUUUAUUGGGUUUAAAGGGAGCGCAGACGGGUCGUUAAGUCAGCUGUGAAAGUUUGGGGCUCAACCUUAAAAUUGCAGUUGAUACUGGCGUCCUUGAGUGCGGUUGAGGUGUGCGGAAUUCGUGGUGUAGCGGUGAAAUGCUUAGAUAUCACGAAGAACUCCGAUUGCGAAGGCAGCACACUAAUCCGUAACUGACGUUC
rnacentral:rRNA from 1 species